UGGGGAAUAUUGGACAAUGGGGGGAACCCUGAUCCAGCCAUGCCGCGUGUGUGAAGAAGGCCGUAUGGUUGUAAAGCACUUUAAGCGAGGAGGAGGGUACUGGUAUUAAUACUACCAGCUACUGGACGUUACUCGCAGAAUAAGCACCGGCUAACUCUGUGCCAGCAGCCGCGGUAAUACGGAGGGUGCGAGCGUUAAUCGGAUUUACUGGGCGUAAAGCGUGCGUAGGCGGCUAAUUGAGUCGGAUGUGAAAUCCCCGAGCUUAACUUGGGAAUUGCAUUCGAUACUGGUUAGCUAGAGUGUGGGAGAGGAUGGUAGAAUUCCAGGUGUAGCGGUGAAAUGCGUAGAGCUCUGGAGGAAUACCGAUGGCGAAGGCAGCCAUCUGGCCUAACACUGCCGCUGAGGUACGAAAGCAUGGGGAGCAACCAGG
rnacentral:rRNA from 1 species